rnacentral:rRNA from 1 species
UACGUAGGGGGCGAGCGUUGUCCGGAUUUAUUGGGCGUAAAGAGCGUGUAGGCGGCCAGGUAGGUCUGCUGUGAAAACUCGAGGCUCAACCUCGAGACGUCGGCGGAAACCAUCUGGCUAGAGUCCGGAAGAGGAGAGUGGAAUUCCUGGUGUAGCGGUGAAAUGCGCAGAUAUCAGGAAGAACACCCGUGGCGAAGGCGGCUCUAUGGGACGGUACUGACGCUGAGACGCGAAAGCGUGGGGAGCGAACAGG